AGCCUGAACGCUGGCGGCGUGGCUAAGACAUGCAAGUCGAACGGGACCCGCAAGGGUUCAGUGGCGGACGGGUGAGUAAUGUAUCGCUAAUGUGCCCCGGAAUCUGAGAUAGCUAGCCGAAAGGCUAGGUAAUACCAGAUGAUAUACCUUGAAGGCAUCUUCGAGUCUCAAAGGAGUAAUCCGGUCUGGGAGCAGGCGAUAUCGUAUCAGCUAGUUGGUGAGGUAACGGCUCACCAAGGCGACGACGCGUAGCCGGGCUGACGAGGUUGGCCGGCCACGAUUAGGGACUGAGACACUGCCCAGACUCCGUACGGGGGGCUGCAGUAACGAAUCGUUACCACAA
rnacentral:rRNA from 1 species